AGUGAACGCUGGCGGCGUGCCUAACACAUGCAAGUCGAACGAUGAAUAAGAGCUUGCUCUUAGGAUUAGUGGCGCACGGGUGAGUAAUAGAUAGCUAAUAUGCCUCUUGGAGAGGGACAACAGUUGGAAACGACUGCUAAUACCUCAUAUUCCUGCUUUUCAAAAGGAGAGUAGGGAAACGAGUUUUGCCAAGAGAUUAGGCUAUCUCCUAUCAGCUAGUUGGUGAGGUAAGAGCUCACCAAGGCUAUGACGGGUAUCUGGUUUGAGAGGAUGAUCAGACACACUGGAACUGAGACACGGUCCAGACUCCUACGGGAGGCAGCAGUGGGGAAUAUUGCACAAUGGAGGGAACUCUGAUGCAGCAACGCCGCGUGGAGGAUGACGGUUUUCGGAUUGUAAACUCCUUUUAUAUAGGAAGAUAAUGACGGUACUAUAUGAAUAAGCACCGGCUAACUCCGUGCCAGCAGCCGCGGUAAUACGGAGGGUGCAAGCGUUACUCGGAAUCACUGGGCGUAAAGAGAGUGUAGGCGGACUAUUAAGUCUUGUGUGAAUCCUAUGGCUUAACCAUAGAACUGCAUGAGAAACUGAUAGUCUAGAGUAUGGAAGAGGAAGAUGGAAUUAGUGGUGUAGGGGUAAAAUCCGUAGAGAUCACUAGGAAUACCGAAAGCGAAGGCGAUCUUCUGGGACAUUACUGACGCUGAGACUCGAAAGCGUGGGGAGCAAACGGGAUUAGAUACCCCGGUAGUCACGCCCUAAACGAUGAAUGCUAGUCGUCGGGGAGCUUGUCUCUUCGGUGAUGCAGUUAACACAUUAAGCAUUCCGCCUGGGGAGUACGGUCGCAAGAUUAAAACUCAAAGGAAUAGACGGGGACCCGCACAAGUGGUGGAGCAUGUGGUUUAAUUCGAAGAUACGCGAAGAACCUUACCCAGCCUUGACAUCCUUAGAAUUCUUCAGAGAUGAGGAAGUGCUGGCUUGCCAGAACUAAGUGACAGGUGCUGCACGGCUGUCGUCAGCUCGUGUCGUGAGAUGUUGGGUUAAGUCCCGCAACGAGCGCAACCCCCGUGAUUAGUUGCUAACAGUUCGGCUGAGCACUCUAGUCAGACUGCCUUCGCAAGAAGGAGGAAGGUGGGGACGACGUCAAGUCAUCAUGGCCCUUAUGGCUGGGGCAACACACGUGCUACAAUGGUAUGUUACAAUGAGACGCAAUACCGCGAGGUGGAGCAAAUCUAUAAAACAUAUCUCAGUUCGGAUUGUAGUCUGCAACUCGACUACAUGAAGCCGGAAUCACUAGUAAUCGCAGAUCAGCUAUGCUGCGGUGAAUACGUUCCCGGGUCUUGUACUCACCGCCCGUCACACCAUGGGAGUUGAUUUCACCCGAAACCGGGAAGCUAACCUUCGGGAGGCUACCGUUCACGGUGGAAUUAGCGACUGGGGUGAAGU
rnacentral:rRNA from 1 species